rnacentral:autocatalytically_spliced_intron from 1 species
AACCGCCGUGUACGGAACCGUUCGCACGGUCGUGUGGGAGGAGGGACGCCGCAAGGCUCCCUCCUACUCGAU